rnacentral:rRNA from 1 species
UACGUAGGGGGCAAGCGUUGUCCGGAUUUAUUGGGCGUAAAGAGCGUGUAGGCGGCCAGAUAGGUCCGUUGUGAAAACUGGAGGCUUAACCUCCAGCGGUCGAUGGAAACCAUUUGGCUAGAGUCCGGAAGAGGAGAGUGGAAUUCCUGGUGUAGCGGUGAAAUGCUUAGAUAUGACAUAGAACACCAAUUGCGAAGGCAGCUCACUACACGAAUAUUGACACUGAGGCACGAAAGCGUGGGGAUCAAACAGG